rnacentral:lncRNA from 1 species
ACGCUGGUCAGUGUCCUUGGUGUUCUGGUGGACAGUGGUCCUGCUGGCUCGCUAGCUCCUCAUGGAGGACGGGGGUUCGACGGCCUCUGUGGAGGACCACCAGGGCCCGGGCGGGAGCCCCUCCCUGCCAGUGCCCCCGGAGGGCCCCACUGCGCCCGCUGCCUUGGAGCCCGGCAAGUCCGGGUCCUCAGCCCACAGACACGUGAGCAGGAGGACCGGGCUGUCGAAGCUCUGCCAGAGCCGCAUGGCGCUGUCGGAGGAGAGGUGGAGCUCCUACUGCCUGUCGUCACUGGCCGCCCAGAACAUCUGCACGAGCAAGUUGCACUGCUCGGCCGCGCCCGGGCAGGCGGACCUCACGGGGUCCCUGGGCAGCACGUCCUGCUGCUCCCUGCUGCGGGCCUUGUCCUCAGGGUGGUCCACGCCGCUGCUCCCAGCCCCCGUGUGCAACCCCAACAAGGCCGUGUUUACCGUGGAUGCCAAGACCACCGAGAUCCUGGUGGCCAACGACAGGGCCUGCCGGCUCCUGGGCCACAGCAGCCAUGACCUCAUCGGCCAGAAGCUCACGCAGUUCUUCCUGAAGCCGGACCCCGACGUGGUGCAGGCCCUCAGCGAGGAGCACGUGGAGGCCGACGGGCACGCUGCCGUCGCGUUCGGUACUGUGGUGGACGUUGUGAGCCGCGGCGGGGAGAGGAUCCCGGUCUCCGUGUGGAUGAAGAGGGUGAAGCAGGAGCGCAGCCUCUGCUGUGUGGUCGUGCUGGAGCCCGUGGAGCGGGUCUCAGCCUGGGUGGCAUUCCGGAGCGACGGUACCGUGACGUCCUGCGACGGGCUCUUCGCACACCUGCAUGGCUUUGCAUCUGGGGAGGAGGUGGUUGGGCAGCACAUCACAGACCUCAUCCCUUCCCUGCAGCUCCCCCCUCCUGGCGAGCACGUCCCCACGCACCUCAAGAUUCAGAGGUCCGUUGGAAGAGCCAGGGAUGGCGCCACCUUCCCUGUGAGCCUGAAGCUGAAGUCCCAGCCCUGCAGCAAGGAGGCUGCAGAUGGCGAGGCGGCCCCCAGCGAGGGCUACUCAGCGUCCGUCUGGGUGUUCUCCACCAUCAGCGGGCUCAUCACGCUCCUGCCGGAUGGGACCAUCUACGGCAUCAACCACAGCUUUGCCCUCAUGCUGUUUGGUUACGGAAGGGCUGAGCUCCUGGGCAAGAACAUCACCUUCCUGAUUCCCGGUUUCUACCACCAAAUGGACCUUGCCUACGACAGCUCCUUACCUCUGCGGGACCUGGCCAGCUGCCUGGACGCUGGCAGCCGGAGUGGGCCUGGGGUCAGCACGGGAGACGAGCCUGCCGGCACAGCCCAGGAUCCAAAGGUGGACACCGAGACCCCAAAGCCAGCAGAGAGCCAGGACACAUGCCCCACGGCCCCCGGGGGCUCCCUCCCCGCCUGCCCGCUGGCGCAGCCCGCUCCCAGGGGGGAAAGCAUCCCAGGAGGAAGCCGGUCACCGCCCGAGUGCCCGCGAGAUGUGCCUGAGGGAGGCCCAUCUGCCCGCAGUGGCCCGUCGUCACCCGAGGGCCAGCAGCGCUCUGUCUCAGAGCAAGAGCAGCCGGCGACAGCGGAGCACCUCAGCCGGGACCUUCAGCGGGGGAGUCAAUUUGAGUUGGGGGACACGAAGCUGUCUGCUUCCCAGGAAGACUCAGAAGCUGCCAUCCCCGGUGCAGACAGGAGUAGUGGGGAUGAGACGCAUGGCCCGUGUCAGGAGGCGUGGGCAGAGCGGGGCAGCGCCAGUGAUUCAGACCAGGGCCCUGACGUUGCCACGGCCGUGUCCCACACUGAGGGUUGUCUGGCUGGGCAGGGCCCCCAGGGGGAGCAGAGCGCACUGCCAGGAAGCCCAUGCUUGGCCGCCAGUCCCCCGGGGACGCUGCAGCUCUUGUUCUCAACGCCGCCUUUGGAUGAGCCCUGGCUGGAGGCGCGGCAGGACAGAGAGGAGCUGCAUACAUGCCUGAUAAAGGAGCAGCUGUCUGCCUCGAGCCGCGCGGGGCCUUGGGGCGUCUCCUACGCCGAGCUGGUCCUGAUGGGGCAGCCCCCGCUCUCUGCCCCUGCGUCCUUGUUGGACCUGAGAGCCACAGAACCACGGGGCGGCCGCUCGGGCAGCUCCUCGGCCUGCUAUGCCCUGGCCACUGACCUGCCCGGCGCCCUGGAGGCUGUGGAGGUCCCAGAGGCUAGCGAGAAUUCGUUUUCCUGGAACCUCAAGGAGCUUGUUUUCAGGGACUGGACAGACCGAACUUCUUCUAACUGUUCGUGCGCCACGUCUGAACUCGGGGGCACACCCUCACCUUCGCUGGUGGGCUCGGACGCAGACGUGGGUGCCCUGCACAGGCAGCGGUCAGAUGUGCUGGACGACCGGGAGCUGCUGCUGCUGACCGGCACCUGUGUUGAUCUGUGUGGGGGCCGACGCUUCCGUGAGAGCCGCCUGGGCCUGGAGGAGACAGAGCCGUCCCAGACCUGUCUGGUGUCCUCCGAGCACCAGGAUGUGAACGGCUGCGACAGCCCGAGCCAUGUACUCCCCGUGCUGGCAGCCGGCCCUGAGGAUGAGUGCCCACUGGAGGCGCCUGGGCUGAGCCUCCACGUCACCUCCACGCCCGUGAGAGCCGAGGGCCCCGGCCCUGCACCCCUCAGGGCGGCCGACCUGCAGCCGGAGAUCCAGGAAGGCACCUACGCGGGGAGCUGCUACCACCGGGAUGGCUCGCAGCUGAGUGUGCAGUUCGAGGUGCGGCGUGUGGAGCUCCAGGGCCCGGCCACCCUCUUCUGCUGCUGGCUGGUGAAGGACCUUCUGCGCACCCACCUGCUGCUGGCCAGCCUGCCUAGCUCUGCCCACUCCACCUGCGAGCUGCCCGCGGCCAGCCUGGGGGAGGUGCUUGGAACCAAGCCCUGGUUUGAGGAGCCCCCCAAGGCCGUGGAGCCAGAGGGGCUGGCGGCCUGCGAGGGGGCGUACUCCCUUAAGUACAGCACGCUCAGCCCGAUCGGCAGUGGGGCCUUUGGCUUUGUGUGGACGGCGGUGGACAAGGAGGCGAAUAAGGAGGUGGUGGUGAAGUUUAUUAAGAAGGAGAAGGUUUUGGAGGACUGCUGGAUUGAGGACCCCAAGCUUGGGAAGGUCACUUUAGAGAUAGCCAUCCUGUGCAAGGUGGAGCAUGCCAACAUCAUCAAGGUGCUGGACGUGUUUGAGAACCAAGGCUUCUUUCAGCUGGUAAUGGAAAAGCACGGCUCUGGCCUGGACCUGUUUGCAUUCAUUGACCGCCAUCCCAGCCUCGACGAGCCCCUGGCAAGCUACAUCUUUCGACAGCUGGUGGCGGCCGUGGUGUACCUGCGCUCCGAGAGCAUCCUCCACCGGGACAUCAAGGACGAGAACAUUGUCAUUGCCGAGGACUUCUCCAUCAAGCUCAUCGACUUCGGCUCGGCCGCCUACCUGGAGCGGGGCAAGCUCUUCUACACCUUCUGCGGGACGAUCGAGUACUGUGCGCCCGAGGUCCUCAUGGGGAACCCGUACCGGGGGCCAGAGCUGGAGAUGUGGUCCAUGGGGGUCACGCUGUACACACUGAUCUUCGAGGAGAACCCCUUCUGCGAGCUGGAGGAGACCAUGGAGGCUGCGAUAAACCCCCCGUAUCUGGUCUCGGAAGACCUCAUGAACCUCAUGUCUGGGCUGCUACAGCCUGUGCCUGAGCAGCGCACCACCUUGGAGGAGCUGGUGACAGACCCCUGGGUGACACAGCCCGUGAACCUGGCGGACUACACCUGGGAGGAGGUGUGUCGGCUAAACAAGUCAGGUCUUUGA